rnacentral:rRNA from 1 species
CCUGAGAAACCUAAAAGAUCGAAUGGGGAGAUUCAUCGUCAGCGCAUUUAGUAUAUAUUCAAGUUAUGAUGUGAGUUACUUUCGGGUAUUGCUUAUACAUUCUUGUUUAUUUAAUUGCUAGAUGUCGUCGGCGUGCACUUCUCCCCUAGUAGGACGUCGCGACCCGUUGGGUGUCGGUCUACGGCUCAAGUGGUAGCCUUUAAUAUUUUAAAAAAUAUUAAAGACCCUUGAUGUUUCCUGACCGGCUGCCCGGCGGUAUUCGUAUGGUAUUAAGCCGCAUUUAUUUGCGUUUUCACCCGUCACAAGCGCGGCUAAUUUCUGAUAGUACGGACCUAGUGCCGUCGUUGGUAUUGGCCAGCUGUUGGUUGUACGGUGUUCUGAAACAGGCUAAAAAUAAUUACCGGUCGGCGACGCUACUGCUUUAGGUACUUUCAGGACCCGUCUUGAAACACGGACCAAGGAGUCUAACAUGUGCGCGAGUCAUUGGGAUAUUUUUUAAAUUAAACCUAAAGGCGCAAUGAAAGUAAAGAUUAUCCUUGUGAUAAUUGAGGGAAGAUGGGCUGUGUUAUUAUACAGCUCCGCAUUCCCGGGGCAUCUCAUUCUCUUUNNGAGAAGAGGUGCACCUAG